UUUCCGUAGGUGAACCUGCGGAAGGAUCAUUCAUAAUAAGUGUUUUAUGGCCCUUUUUUAAAUCUAUAUCUACAUUGUGUGCAAUGUCAGUGUUGAUUUUUCUCUCGAGAGGACCAGCUCCAUACAUCAACUAUAUCUCAACUCUUUGUCUGAAAAAUAUUAUGAAUGAAAUAAUUAAUAAUACAACUAUCAACAACGGAUCGCUUGGCUCUCGCACCGAUCAAGAACGCAGCCGGCAGAAAGAACACACGUCCGAACGCACUCCAGGCACAGUCAUCU
rnacentral:misc_RNA from 1 species